rnacentral:rRNA from 1 species
GAUCCUGGCUUAGAACGAACGCUGGCGGCGCGUCUUAAGCAUGCAAGUCGAACGGCAAGAGGUAGCAAUACCUCCUAGAGUGGCGGACUGGUGAGUAACACGUGGGUGACAUACCCUUCAGAUGGGGAUAGCUAUUAGAAAUAGUAGAUAAUACCGAAUACGAGCACAGGGGUUAGAGAUCUGUGAGGAAAGGAGCUAAGGCUCCGCUGAAGGAAUGGCCUGCGGCCCAUUAGCUAGUUGGUGAGGUAAGAGCCCACCAAGGCGAUGAUGGGUAUCCGGCCUUAGAGGGUGAACGGACACAUUGGGACUGAGAUACGGCCCAGACUCCUACGGGAGGCAGCAGUAGGGAAUCUUUCACAAUGGGCGAAAGCCUGAAUGGAGCAACGCCGCGUGCAGGAUGACGGCCUUCGGGUUGUAAACUGCUUUUAUAAGCGAGAAAUAUGAUGGUAACUUAUGAAUAAGGACCGGCUAACUACGUGCCAGCAGCCGC